UCCAUUCACAUCGUACUAGGAUAACUUUUUCAAUAUAGGGGGUAAACCCUAUAUCAAGACAAUCUUAUAUCAGCCCGAUGCGAACUUUUAAUCAUUCUAAUUUCAGAUCUAAUCAUAAAAUUAACAUCUGAUUUUAGAUCUAAAAGAUUGAUUUUAGAUUAUGAAAAUAUUUUUCAAAAAUAAUCAAUCUUGUACUAGUAUAAUCUUCACAAUAUAGGGUGCAACACCCUAUACUAGGACAACCAAAUUUCAGCACA
rnacentral:lncRNA from 1 species